AACGAUGAAACCGCUUCGGUGGUGGAUUCCUGGCGAACGGGUGAGUAACACGUGGGCAAUCUGCCCUUCACUCUGGGACAAGCCCUCGAAACGGGGUCUAAUACCGGAUACGACACACGGAGGCAUCUCCUGUGUGUGGAAAGCUCCGGCGGUGAAGGAUGAGCCCGCGGCCUAUCAGCUUGUUGGUGGGGUGAUGGCCUACCAAGGCGACGACGGGUAGCCGGCCUGAGAGGGCGACCGGCCACACUGGGACUGAGACACGGCCCAGACUCCUACGGGAGGCAGCAGUGGGGAAUAUUGCACAAUGGGCGAAAGCCUGAUGCAGCUGACGCCGCGUGAGGGAUGACGGCCUUCGGGUUGUAAACCUCUUUCACCAGGGAAGAAGCGAAAGUGACGGUUCCCUGCAGAAGAAGCGCCGGCUAACUACGUGCCAGCAGUCGCUGCUAAUACGUAGGGCGCAAGCGUAG
rnacentral:rRNA from 1 species